UUGCACGCUGGCGGCAUGCUUUACACAUGCAAGUCGCACGGCAGCGCGGGCUUCGGCCUGGCGGCGAGUGGCGAACGGGUGAGUAAUACAUCGGAACGUGCCCAGUAGUGGGGGAUAGCUCGGCGAAAGCCGGAUUAAUACCGCAUACGACCUGAGGGUGAAAGCGGGGGAUCUUCGGACCUCGCGCUAUUGGAGCGGCCGAUGGCAGAUUAGCUAGUUGGUGGGGUAAAGGCCUACCAAGGCGACGAUCUGUAGCUGGUCUGAGAGGACGACCAGCCACACUGGGACUGAGACACGGCCCAGACUCCUACGGGAGGCAGCAGUGGGGAAUUUUGGACAAUGGGCGAAAGCCUGAUCCAGCAAUGCCGCGUGUGUGAUGAAGGCCUUCGGGUUGUAAAGCACUUUUGGCGGGAACGAAAAGGACUGUGCCAAUACCACGGUUCGAUGACGGUACCCGCAGAAUAAGCACCGGCUAACUACGUG
rnacentral:rRNA from 1 species